rnacentral:misc_RNA from 1 species
UACGUAGGGGGCAAGCGUUGUCCGGAAUUAUUGGGCGUAAAGCGCGCGCAGGCGGUCCCUUAAGUCUGAUGUGAAAUCUUGCGGCUCAACCGCAAGCGGUCAUUGGAAACUGGGGAACUUGAGUGCAGAAGAGGGGAGCGGAAUUCCACGUGUAGCGGUGAAAUGCGUAGAGAUGUGGAGGAACACCAGUGGCGAAGGCGACUUUCUGGCCUGUAACUGACGCUGAGGCGCGAAAGCGUGGGGAUCAAACAGG